rnacentral:rRNA from 1 species
UACGUAGGGUGCGAGCGUUGUCCGGAAUUAUUGGGCGUAAAGAGCUUGUAGGCGGUCUGUCGCGUCUGCUGUGAAAAUCCGGGGCUCAACCCCGGACUUGCAGUGGGUACGGGCAGACUAGAGUGUGGUAGGGGAGACUGGAAUUCCUGGUGUAGCGGUGGAAUGCGCAGAUAUCAGGAGGAACACCGAUUGCGAAGGCAGCUCGCUGGGACGUUACUGACGCUGAGACGCGAAAGCGUGGGGAGCAAACAGG